UACGAUAAGUAGGGGCCCUGAGAGGGGGAUCCCCCACACUGGUACUGAGACACGGACCAGACUCCUACGGGAGGCAGCAGUAAGGAAUAUUGGACAAUGGACGAAAGUCUGAUCCAGCCAUGCCGCGUGCAGGAUGACUGCCCUAUGGGUUGUAAACUGCUUUUAUACAGGAAGAAACACUCCGACGUGUCGGAGCUUGACGGUACUGUAAGAAUAAGGAUCGGCUAACUCCGUGCCAGCAGCCGCGGUAAUACGGAGGAUCCAAGCGUUAUCCGGAAUCAUUGGGUUUAAAGGGUCCGCAGGCGGUCUUUUAAGUCAGGGGUGAAAGCCUACAGCUCAACUGUAGAACGGCCUUUGAUACUGAAAGACUUGAGUUAUUGUGAAGUGGUUAGAAUGUGUGGUGUAGCGGUGAAAUGCAUAGAUAUCACACAGAAUACCGAUUGCGAAGGCAGAUCACUAACAAUAUACUGACGCUCAGGGACGAAAGCGUGGGUAGCGAACAGGAUUAGAUACCCUGGUAGUCCACGCCGUAAACGAUGGAUACUAGCUGUUCGCUUAACAUUGGUUAAGUGAGUGGCUAAGCGAAAGUGAUAAGUAUCCCACCUGGGGAGUACGGUCGCAAGACUGAAACUCAAAGGAAUUGACGGGGGCCCGCACAAGCGGUGGAGCAUGUGGUUUAAUUCGAUGAUACGCGAGGAACCUUACCAGGGCUUAAAUGUAGUGGGACAGGUCUAGAGAUAGAUCCUUCUUCGGACUCAUUACAAGGUGCUGCAUGGUUGUCGUCAGCUCGUGCCGUGAGGUGUCAGGUUAAGUCCUAUAACGAGCGCAACCCUUAUCGUUAGUUGCCAGCGGGUAAUGCCGGGAACUCUGACGAAACUGCCAGUGCAAACUGUGAGGAAGGUGGGGAUGACGUCAAAUCAUCACGGCCCUUACGUCCUGGGCUACACACGUGCUACAAUGGCCGGUACAGAGAGCAGCCACUUCGCAAGGAGGAGCGAAUCUAUAAAACCGGUCUC
rnacentral:rRNA from 1 species